rnacentral:rRNA from 1 species
AUGCCGGAGUUUUAUGCGUAUCGCAUACAACAACGUCUAAACCAAGCAGCAACCUUGCAAAUGAGUGGACGUUUGUUCCUGCAGUUCUUAGUUGAUGUAGCAACGUGCAUUGAACAGUGGAGACUAAAUUGGUACAGGACAAACCAAGGUAAGUUGAGGACAGAACUGUACAGAGGACUGCAUGAUGCAAUAGAAAAUGGAGAUACACGAACCGAACAAGUUGGACAAAUAAUCAUACUACCCUCAUCAUAUAACGGCAGUCCGAGAAAUAAGCAGCAAAACUACCAAUAUGCCAUGGCGAUUUGUCAUUGGGCUGGCUACCCUGAUCUCUUCAUUACUUUUACAUGCAAUCCAAAAUGGCCGGAAAUACAAGAUAUGUUGGAUCUGAUUCCAGGCCAGAAACCUGAAGAUCGUCCAGAUAUUGUUGCCAGAGUAUUCAUGUUAAAGCUGAGGGAACUUAUGAAUGAUAUAAAGAAUAGGAAGUAUUUUGGAAAAACAAUUGCAAGUAAGUUUACCUAA